UCCCGUAGAGCAGAAGGGCAAAAGGUCUCUUCAUCCUGAUUUUCGGUAUGUAUACAGACUGUGAAAAUGCUUCAAAACUUAAGAAAUGCUUAACAGCAGGACUGUAGCAACCAUUUCUCCAUUUAAAGAUUAAAAAAAAAAGGAGGAAAAAUUAAAAAAUGGGCAUGAAAGACUGUUAAAAGAUUUGCCUUGUGAUAAGGCUUGUGGAAACCAGCCAUGCAUUCCCACAACACACGUCGUUUCUCAUCAGAACGGCGCUGUGGUUUGGUCCCUGACAUCAGUUAAUGGAGCAGAUUGGUUUCCAAAAGGGUAGAUGGUAUUUUGCCAUCCGCAUACAUGGCCUGGCACGGGUCAGCUAGGUCUGGGCUACAGCUGGUACCGCAGCCAUCCCACCGCAUCCUCCUCCUGCAGCAAGCGCCAGCAUGCUCAGGCAGGUCCAGCAGCAAAGGGCACUACAGCAGCCCAAGAGCUAGUAUUACAGAAUGGUUACAGCUAAAUUACCUCGGCUGAACUGCGAGCAGGAGCUGGAAGGGGAGGAAAACCACGUGGUACAAAACCAGCUCCGGUGGGAUGGGAUUUCACAGCAGAAUUCACAUAGCUCCAGCUUUGGAGCUGCUCAAGGACAAGGUGUGGCAGUUUCUCCCCUGCUUUCAACAGUGGAGGAAAUGAGACGGUGGAUGCUCCUCUCAUGCCUCUUGAAGCUUACACAGGUGUGGGGCUGUCCAUCUGUGCUGGGCCAAGGGGUGUUCUGUGCCGCUGAGCUCGAGCAUGCCACCUCUCUGGUGUGGGAGGAACAGAGCAUAACCGUUUCCAGGAGGCUCCAAGUCAUGCUCAUCUGUGUUUUUCCAUGAGCCCUGAAAUUCUGCGGUCAUGUAAUGACAGCUCUCCUUACUGCUCAGUUACAGGAUCUGAUCCUGGAGGCUUCCAUGGUUUCACCCAGUAUUUAUUUAUCCCCAUCACAUGAAUUUUGGGAGUAUCCAUUUCAAAACACUUUGUGUUUUCUGUCCUCCUGUGACCCUGGCACACAGGGAUGCCAUCAAUUCCUUGCUGGAUUUUCUCUAUUUUACCCGUAGGGGCCUUUCAGGCCAGUCUAGAGAAGAAAGAUAUCUGCAGUUUAAAAAAAUAAUUCUUGUUUCUAGUGAAUGCAGCUUGGGUAGCAGGAAUAAUGUCAGCACAAGUCUGUACUAAGUGAGUUUAAUAGUUACCAUUUCUCUCUAAUGUUUAACUCGUGGCCUAAAGCUGGUUAGUGAUUUGUGUCCUGUACCACCAUGCAAGCUGUACUCCUUAAAGGUCCACAAAUCCAACCUCCCUUUACUCUAAUAAUAAUAAUAAUAAUAAAAAUAAAAAAGGUAUUAUGAUCUUCC
ensembl:lncRNA